UUCGGCCAUAUCACGCUGCAAGCGGUUCUCAUGAGAUCACCAAAGUUAAGCAGUGUCGUGCCUGGUCAGUACCUAAAUGGGUGACCGCUUGGAAAAACCAAAUGCUGUAAG